GACGAACCUAGCGAACGUUGUUCGGAAUCACUGGGCUUAAAGGGCGCGUAGGCGGGUGCUCAAGUCCGUGGUGAAAUCCUCCGGCUCAACCUGAGAACUGCCUCGGAUACUGGGCGUCUCGAGUGUGGUAGGGGUAUGCGGAACUAUCGGUGGAGCGGUGAAAUGCGUUGAUAUCGAUAGGAACUCCGGUGGCGAAGGCGGCAUACUGGACCACCACUGACGCUGAGACGCGAAAGCGUGGGGAGCGAACAGG
rnacentral:rRNA from 1 species